AGAACGAACGCUGGCGGCGUGGAUAAGACAUGCAAGUCGAGCGCUGAUUAAGAGGUAGCAAUACUUUUUAAUUGGAGCGGCGCAAGGGUGCGUAACACGUAGGUAAUUUGCCAUGAAGUUGGGGAUAACUCGCUGAAAGGCGAGCUAAUACCGAAUGUGGCCCGCGGGAGGCAUCUCCUGUUGGCUAAAGUUGGGGACCGCAAGGCCUGACGCUUUAUGAUAAACCUGCGGCCUACCAGCUAGUUGGCGGGGUAACGGCCCACCAAGGCGAUGACGGGUAGCUGGUCUGAGAGGACGACCAGCCACACUGGAACUGAGACACGGUCCAGACACCUACGGGUGGCAGCAGUCGAGAAUUUUUCACAA
rnacentral:rRNA from 1 species